GAAACGGGUUAAUAUUCCCGUACUUCUUACAAUUGCGAUGGGGGGACGGAGAAGGCUAGGUGGGCCUGGCGACGGUUGUCCAGGUUCAAGUGCGUAGGCUUAAGAGUUAGGUAAAUCCGGCUCUUUCUAAGGCUGAGACACGACGUCGAGCACCUACGGGUGUGAAGUCAUUGAUGCCAUGCUUCCAGGAAAAGCCUCUAAGCUUCAGAUUGUAAGGAAUCGUACCCCAAACCGACACAGGUGGUCGGGUAGAGAAUACCAAGGCGCUUGAGAGAACUCGGGUGAAG
rnacentral:rRNA from 1 species